rnacentral:rRNA from 2 species
AUCGGAGACAGGUGCUGCAUGGCUGUCGUCAGCUCGUGUCGUGAGAUGUUGGGUUAAGUCCCGCAACGAGCGCAACCCUCGCCCUUAGUUGCCAGCAUUUAGUUGGGCACUCUAAGGGGACUGCCGGUGAUAAGCCGAGAGGAAGGUGGGGAUGACGUCAAGUCCUCAUGGCCCUUACGGGCUGGGCUACACACGUGCUACAAUGGUGGUGACAGUGGGCAGCGAGACCGCGAGGUCGAGC